rnacentral:rRNA from 1 species
CUUAUGCGUUGUUGGGUAGGGGAGCGUUCUGUAAGCCUGCGAAGGUGUGCUGUGAGGCAUGCUGGAGGUAUCAGAAGUGCGAAUGCUGACAUAAGUAACGAUAAAGCGGGUGAAAAGCCCGCUCGCCGGAAGACCAAGGGUUCCUGUCCAACGUUAAUCGGGGCAGGGUGAGUCGACCCCUAAGGCGAGGCCGAAAGGCGUAGUCGAUGGGAAACAGGUUAAUAUUCCUGUACUUGGUGUUACUGCGAAGGGGGGACGGAGAAGGCUAUGUUGGCCGGGCGACGGUUGUCCCGGUUUAAGCGUGUAGGCUGGUUUUCCAGGCAAAUCCGGAAAAUCAAGGCUGAGGCGUGAUGACGAGGCACUACGGUGCUGAAGCAACAAAUGCCCUGCUUCCAGGAAAAGCCUCUAAGCAUCAGGUAACAUCAAAUCGUACCCCAAACCGACACAGGUGGUCAGGUAGAGAAUACCAAGGCGCUUGAGAGAACUCGGGUGAAGGAACUAGGCAAAAUGGUGCCGUAACUUCGGGAGAAGGCACGCUGAUAUGUAGGUGAAGUCCCUUGCGGAUGGAGCUGAAAUCAGUCGAAGAUACCAGCUGGCUGCAACUGUUUAUUAAAAACACAGCACUGUGCAAACACGAAAGUGGACGUAUACGGUGUGACGCCUGCCCGGUGCCGGAAGGUUAAUUGAUGGGGUCAGCGCAAGCGAAGCUCUUGAUCGAAGCCCCGGUAAACGGCGGCCGUAACUAUAACGGUCCUAAGGUAGCGAAAUUCCUUGUCGGGUAAGUUCCGACCUGCACGAAUGGCGUAAUGAUGGCCAGGCUGUCUCCACCCGAGACUCAGUGAAAUUGAACUCGCUGUGAAGAUGCAGUGUACCCGCGGCAAGACGGAAAGACCCCGUGAACCUUUACUAUAGCUUGACACUGAACAUUGAGCCUUGAUGUGUAGGAUAGGUGGGAGGCUUUGAAGUGUGGACGCCAGUCUGCAUGGAGCCGGCCUUGAAAUACCACCCUUUAAUGUUUGAUGUUCUAACGUGGACCCGUGAUCCGGGUUGCGGACAGUGUCUGGUGGGUAGUUUGACUGGGGCGGUCUCCUCCUAAAGAGUAACGGAGGAGCACGAAGGUUGGCUAAUCCUGGUCGGACAUCAGGAGGUUAGUGCAAUGGCAUAAGCCAGCUUGACUGCGAGCGUGACGGCGCGAGCAGGUGCGAAAGCAGGUCAUAGUGAUCCGGUGGUUCUGAAUGGAAGGGCCAUCGCUCAACGGAUAAAAGGUACUCCGGGGAUAACAGGCUGAUACCGCCCAAGAGUUCAUAUCGACGGCGGUGUUUGGCACCUCGAUGUCGGCUCAUCACAUCCUGGGGCUGAAGUAGGUCCCAAGGGUAUGGCUGUUCGCCAUUUAAAGUGGUACGCGAGCUGGGUUUAGAACGUCGUGAGACAGUUCGGUCCCUAUCUGCCGUGGGCGCUGGAGAACUGAGGGGGGCUGCUCCUAGUACGAGAGGACCGGAGUGGACGCAUCACUGGUGUUCGGGUUGUCAUGCCAAUGGCACUGCCCGGUAGCUAAAUGCGGAAGAGAUAAGUGCUGAAAGCAUCUAAGCACGAAACUUGCCCCGAGAUGAGUUCUCCCUGACCCUUUAAGGGUCCUGAAGGAACGUUGAAGACGACGACGUUGAUAGGCCGGGUGUGUAAGCGCAGCGAUGCGUUGAGCUAACCGGUACUAAUGAACCGUGAGG